rnacentral:rRNA from 1 species
GACGAACGCUGGCGGCGUGCUUAACACAUGCAAGUCGAGCGGUAAGGCCCUUUCGGGGGUACACGAGCGGCGAACGGGUGAGUAACACGUGGGUGACCUGCCCUUAGCUCUGGGAUAAGCCUGGGAAACUGGGUCUAAUACCGGAUAUGACUCCAUAACGCAUGUUGUGGGGUGGAAAGCCUUGUGCGGCUAGGGAUGGGCCCGCGGCCUAUCAGCUUGUUGGUGGGGUGAUGGCCUACCAAGGCGACGACGGGUAGCCGGCCUGAGAGGGCGACCGGCCACACUGGGACUGAGACACGGCCCAGACUCCUACGGGAGGCAGCAGUGGGGAAUCUUGCGCAAUGGGCGAAAGCCUGACGCAGCGACGCCGCGUGGGGAUGAC